GAGCCUUGGAGAUGAUGUAGGAUUCAUCAUUUGCUGUAUCCAGAGACAUGUGUGCUCGGCAUAUUCUGUGAUUCUUGAAUGAGCUAUGGACCACAGCACAGUAAAACACACCGGGAGCCUAUGAUGCCUUAAAUCACAGGGAAGCUGUGGGCUGUCAAAUGUUUCAUGGUGCUGCAGUUCACAGACAUAUCUCUGCUCAGCAAGCCUGGGGAGAAAGAGUCUGUACAGAGCCAGGACAGAAUAGCUGCAUCAGUUAACCUGGCAGGCUCACAGCUCCAAGGCUG